UUAAUUAAGGCGUAGUGGUAACGCGCCCCAACUAGAGAUCGGGGAGUCGUGAGUUCGAUUCUCACUGAGAAGA
rfam:Aedes aegypti strain Liverpool supercont1.108 genomic scaffold, whole genome shotgun sequence.